rnacentral:lncRNA from 1 species
UUGAAGAAAAAUUUUUAAUGAGUUUAGUGUAGCCUAGGUGUACACUAGGUGUUUAUAGAGUCUACGAUAGUGUACAGUCAUGUCCUAGGCCUUCACAUUCACUCAUCACUCACUAACUCACACAGAGCAACUUCUGGUCCUGCAAACUCCAUUCGUGUUGAGUGUCCUAUGUAGGUGUAUUACUUUAUAUCUUUUGUACUAUAUUUUUACUGUAUUUUUUCUUUGUUUAGAAAUGUUUGGAUACACAAACACUAGUGUGUUACAAUUGCCUACAGUAUUCAUUCAGUACAGUAACAUGCUGUUGCAACCUAGAAGCAAUAAGCUACACCAUAUAGCCUAGGUGUGCAGUAGGCUACACCAUCUAGCUUUGUGUAAGUACAUUCUUUGAAGCUUGCACGAUGACAAAAUUGCCUAAUGACACAUUUCUCAGAACAUAACUCCAUCAUUAAGCUACAUAACUUAAACCCCUGCUAUGCAAUGAAACUCAGGUAGCAUAUUAAAAAAUAGAUAACUCAAGCAUUGCAUACAGAGAAGCCAUUCUUGGAACACCAGACAAUAAGCAUUGCAUUAGAUCAGAGCAGUUCUGGGCACAUCUAUGGUCAACAAGAAAUAUUCUCAAAGUCUGAACUUUGAGCUAUAGUAGACAGACAAACUAAGAAUUCCUCAAAGUUAGUAUUUCCAACCGUGAUGUAAGAGUCUAUUCUGAGUGUUGUGACAAACUAUCUCCAGAUCUCGCUAGAGUAACACAAUAAAGGUUUGUUUCUCACCCAUCACAGUCGGGUAUGGCUGUAUGAGGGAGGCGUGAGGAAGGAUCUGCUCCUCGCCCAUCACAGUCGGGUAUGGCUGUAUGAGGGAGGCGUGAGGAAGGCUCUGCUCCAUGCAUUCAUGGAAGUGGCCUUGAUCACCAGCCUAGCACUUCACUGGCAGGGCUCAGUCAAUGACAUCUAGUGGCUGGGAAGCUCGGAAAUGAGCUUUCCUUUGUGCUCAGAAGUAGGACUUGGGCGAACACAUAGCAGUAUCUCUGCUCCAUCCACAUAAACGGGCUCAGAACUUAAAUGGAAAGAGACGCUGAAGAGGGCAUCAAAUAUAUGAGAACUGGAACAGGGAAAGGAACAAAGAUCUGAACAGGAUCAGAUAGAGAUAUUUGCCUACAGACAAGUCCUUGGUUAAAAGACCGUGGAAAUUGAUUCUAGAACUAUAUAUUAUUUAUGGCUUGUGGGACGCAGAAAUGUGUUCUGGUUACCUGUGCAAUAAACUGUACAUACUUCUCAUUUCAGAGUUGGAGUCAAUCACUCUCUGUUGGCCUUUUUUGCUGUCUUUACAAAGUCAUGGGUUAACGAACCCUACUGGGUACUUCUAACAUGAGGUGUCUGGGCUGGGAGAGUCUUACUGGCAAUUGAUGUCAAGAUUCUUCGUCCAGAGGCACAGAGCAGAAAGGUUCUUGGUCCACAGACACCUUAAAACAAGGCCACCCUGGCCAGGUUUAUUCCCGUCUGGCGGCCUACACAUUUCUUAUAUCCUGGAAAAACUGGUGAGCAAGCAAGUGUCGACCUCAGAGUCUCUGACAGGGCUAUUUUGAAACCACACACCAUGAAAACUCUCAGGGAAGUUAAAAAACAAACAAUCAUAACCAAGGCAGUUUAGCUGUUUUGAAAAGAGAUGGAGCUUCAUUACUUCAAACCCAAAUUUCUGCAAGCCUGACAACCACCUUACAUCAAAAUAAACGUCUACCUGCUAGCUGAAAUGUUUAAAAACACAGGUGAGCUCUAUUCUCUGAAAUACAAGCCUUCUCUAACCUGAGAAAUGUAAAUACCUAUGAAGGUGGGUCCAUGAAGGGGAGGUUGAUGAGGAUGGGCCUAUGUAAGAGUGUGUGUCAAGGUUGUUACUUGUAUUUGUGUUACCCUGUGGAUGUGUGUGUGUGUGUGUUUGUGUGUGUGAGAGAGAGAUUCAGAGCAGGAAGAGGAAGGCAACUCACAUGGAUCCAUGUUUUUCGUAACACUGUGUGAAACUCCAGUUAAUUGACUGUAAAAAAAUAGGAACCCACAAGUAACUGACAUUAGUACCGCUGAAAGGCUCCCAGAAGACCUAACUCUUGCUGGCUCCAUAAUCACAAGCACCUGCAAAGCUCUGCCUUGGUGAGGAGAGGGCAGAGCACACCUGCUAACCGACAUCUGCCUGGAGGAAGGAAAGACAGAGCUUCAACCCUGAACACAGAGUGCUGGUCUCUCUUAUGUGCUUGACUGUCAUGCUCAGUUGCAUUGUGCAUGAGUCUGCCUGUCAGCCUGCACUGAAUUUUGCAGCACUGUUCCAGGGUUUACUAUCUGCACUCUGUUCCCAAAGACCUGUUGCCCCUACCUGUGUGCUCCCGGAGGAAUCUGGUUUCUAUAACAACAGACCCCAUCACCAGCGUGGUGCACAAGGCCACCUGCCAAUCCAUUCUGAUUAAGCCCAGCCCUCAGCCUGUCCCCUCCAGACCUGUCACACCAAUUCCCAUUCAGGCACCAGCACUGAUCAUCAGUAUUUCCCAAGAGUGGAAAGGGGAAAAUAGAGACUCAGUAAAUAUAUGUAAAUAAAAGCAGAGUUUUCGUAAGCCAUUCUAAUCUUGAUAUAGUUUGCAUUUCCUUCACUGUUGCUUUAUAAAAGCCCUCUUAAGCUUGCAGCAAGAAGAAUAGGAAGUCAGCUGUCAAUUAGCUUACUAUGAUGUUUUCUCAGUCAUAUUUUGAAAGAGAAGUUGAAUUCAACAUUUUCCAAAAAUCUGCAAACAGCAGCAUGCUGCAUUUAUGGAGAUGACACCUUUUGUGGGUUUUUCUCUUUCAUGGGUAGGAUUUUUCGGAGAGACCACACUGGGAGAAGAGAAUAGGUGAGGAGUUGCUCUGUGAGCUUGCUGCAAUCUGGAAGGAAUAAAGUUGCAGAAAUAGGAAAUUGGAAGCAGAAAUAGGAUAUAGGAAAGUCUUAAGGACUACGAUUUUUGUAUUGCAACUAGAUUCACCUUUGCAGCCAUCCUUUUAACAAGACAAGCCACUCAACUAAUACAUGCUCUGAAGGAGCGAACAGAACUGACUAAACUAAUACAGAAGCAGGGGCUCAGUGGCUGCAGGUUGCAUGAAAAAUUACCCAUUGCAGUUGCAGGGCCCCAUUGUGAGCACCGGUCCUCUAGGAGAAUGCUGGGCUACUUCUUUCUUUACCAAUUGUUGCUAAGAGCAGGUGACCUCACAUGCUGUUUUAGCAACUCUUACUACUGAGAAUUAUUCUCUUGGGAAGUUCAGAAGCUGGCAAAAUAAAUCUUUGUAUUCACUCUGCUUAUAUUCUGACAACACUGACUAAAAUCCUCUACUUUGAAAAGGAAAUAUUCUUCCCAGGCAAAUGCAACUGAUGAAAUAGAUUCUCUGUGUGUGGAUUUGAAGGUGUUAAAGUAAUGAUACUAAUUGCUUUCAUUUUGAUAAGCUUUACAGGCUCCAGAGUUCUCUCACGAGUUCCAUUUCAUUUGAUAUUUGCAGUUACCAUGUGAGGUAAGCAGAGCUGACCUUGACUGGCAUCUCUAUCAGCAGCUCAGUGGGAUUAAAUGGCUUGCCAAUGUCACAAGAAUGUGAGCUCCUUUCUUCAUCUUUCUGCUCCAAUGUAGCAACUACCAAGGGGCCACCUGACAGAACAUGGCCGCUGCAGAGGAACCCUGCUACCUGCAGUUGGUGACAUGGCCUAGGUCCCAGAGGCCUCGUGGUGCCACACACACAAGAACAGGCACCAACAACCAGUGACAUUUUGACAGUCAAAUGGAACCUGUGACUGCCAUCUGUAGAUGUGCCAGCCAAGAAUGUGACCCUGGGGAAAGCCCUUCACACAGGUCUUUCCUUGGUGUAUUUAUAUUUAGUUCCAGCGAAAAACUGCAGUUGUUUUUCUCAGUGACAGGCAUCAAACGAUAACCGAAAAGAAUGAGAAAUAAUUGUUCCCUUUCUCCCUGUUAGGAGAUUGUACUCUUUGAAUUUGGGACCACAGCUCUCUGAACAGCUAGCUCUCCCAUGCCUGGCUCAUGAGACAUCAUAAAUGUUGAUUGUAUUAAAGACAAUUUAGAGGGAAAGGACUUGAAUUCUGGUUCUAAGCUAUUAAAAAUAUUUCUACAUUUUAAUUUUUAAAUUAAGAAAGAUUUUGUACAUAUGGAAAGGUGCAGAAUAUAAAACAGACAACCAUAUGCUUACCAUCCAGAUUAAACAACUGUUAACGUUUUCUCGUAUUUACUUCAGAUCACUUGAAACAAAAGAAAGACAAAAAGAUACGGCUAAAGCCUUGGCCCCCUUCACUCACAUCCCUCCCCUCCUCCCCUCUGCAGAGCAACUUCUGCCUGAAGCUGGUGUGUGUCAUUUCCAUGCAUGAUCUUGUGCUUUCAGUACAUAUUUGUAUAUCCAAAACAAUAUUUACUAUUGUUUUGUGUGCAUUCUUAAUUUACAUAAAUGGCAUCAUAUUGUAAAUUCUCUUGCAACUUGGCUUUUCUUACUCAACAGUACAUUUUAGGGACUUAUUUAUGUUGUGUGGAUACAGUGUAGACCUAGUUCAUUCAUUUUAACUUAAUUGUGAAAUACCAUAGUUUACUUAUCCAUUUCCCUAUUGGGUAAAAUUAGUUAUUGCUUUAUUGUCGUUGUUGUUUAUUGCAAUGAACAUGCCUGUGCAUGCAUCUUUGUGCACGUGUUUGUUAGUGUAAAUGCCCUGAAGUGAAAUUGCUAAUUAGUAGGAAAUAUACUUCUGCACCUUCCUUAGCAGAGACAAAUUGUUCUCCCAAGUGGUUGUACCUAUUUGAACUCAUGCUAGAUUAGAAAUCCCUGUGUUCCUACAUCCUUACCAUCAUUUGUGAGGCUUUCAAUUUUUCUUAUCCAAUAAGUACAAAUGACAUUUUAUUUUUUUAAUUCACAUCUCUCUAAUUAUUCAUGAGCUUAAGCAUUUUUACAUGUUUACUAACCAGUUGUGUAUGUGCAUGUGUGUGCAUGUGAGAGAGAGAGAGAAAUAGGUUUUAAUCCUUUGUUCUUUUCUUAUAAAUUUAUAGUUGUAUUUAUUCUGAAGUUCUUAUCUGAGUUGAAAAGUGUUCUCACAAAUGGUAUCUUGCCUUUUAAUUUUGUUUAUGUCAUGUUCUAUUAUAAAUAGCUUUUUAAUUUUCAUGUAGUUAAAUUUAUAUGUCUUUUCAAGGUUUGUGGGCAUUUGUCCCUUAGUUAAUAAAUCUGUUUCUAACUCUACAUUCAAGAUAUUCUCCCACAUUGUUUUCUAAAAAUUCUAAAUUUUUUUUCCCUUCA